UGAGAAGUAACGCUCUGAGCUUUGGACAUCAAGAGACAUUGAGUGUCACUUUGCUGGUACCCGUAACAUUUUACUAGAGAGAAAAACUCUAGUGAAGACUACUUAGAAUACACAGGAUGCAGCAGCCUCCUGGGAAUGCAGCACCACCUUAAAGAGGAGGGGCAGCUGUUCCAGGGGCACAUUCACCAUCUUUCCUGGAUAAAAGGGAAAAAAGGCGUUAGCAGCGGCUACCAGCUAGGGAAGGAAAGCCAGUUUUUCUCUUCUCAGGCUGCUUAAUCUUGGUGCAGGACAAAGGGCUGGCAGCAGAAAACAAAGUCUGAUUAUAUAUGUUUUCCUUCAAAAAUUGCAUUACUUGGGUGAUGGAGAGAUGGAUCAGCAGUUAAGAGCACCGGCUGCUCUUCCAGAGACCCUGAGUUCAAUUCCCAGCAACCACAUGGUGGUUCAUAGUCAUCCAUAAUGAGAUCUGGUGCCCUCUUCUGGCAGAACGUUGUAUACAUAAUAAAGAAAUAAAUCUUUAAACUUGGCAGUGGUGGUGUGCGCCUUUAAUGUCAGCGCUUUGGAGGCAGAAACAGGCAGAUCUCAGUGAGUUCAAGGUCAGCCUGGUCUACAAACUGAGUUCCAGGACAGUCAGGACUACACAGAGAAACCCCGUGUGUGUGUGUGUGUGUGUGUGUGUGUGUGUGUGUGUUUGUGAGUAAAACCUUAAAAAAAAUUUUUAAAAAAAUUGUAUUACUGAAUUUUACAGAAACAAUCCCAGUCUAAACAUCAUUCCACUGAGUGCUAGACAUAGAAAAGAAGAAUCCUCAUAUAUGAAGUAAAGCAACAACAAAGAGCCAAGGUUAUGCACUGGAACAGACCUAUUAAUUGUCAAGAGCUUAGCAGAAGGCUGAAGCCACAUACAAAUUUCCUUUGUAAACACAGCUCUAUAGUGCCAAUUUAUAUGGUACAAUUCUACAAGACAGUUUCUGUUGUUGUUUUGUUCAAGACAGGGUUUCUUUGUGUAACAGCCCUAGCUGUUCUGGAACUAGCUCUGUAUACCAGGCUGGCCUCAAACUCACAGAGAUCUCCUGCCUCUGCAGGAGUUCUGGGAUUAAAGGUGUGUGCUACCACCAUCUGGCAAAACAAGUUUUUUAAAUUGAUAUAUAACUUGCAUAUAAAAUUCAUUAUCUAAAAGUAUACAGUUCAGGACAUGAAGUGGAGAUACUGAGCUUGCUUUCCUCAUCCACAGAACAGCUGUACACCAUAGGUGCUUGGGAAAUGGAAGCUUCUCUUUUCUAAGAGGAAACACUAACUUUCUAU